CCAUUUUCACUCAAGCACACAAACGGAGACGACAGAAGCGGCGCCGCUCUCAAGAAUACGCCGUCUCCACCGCAUUUCCCGCAGAAGGUGAAAGAUGAAAACUGCUGAUAAUUCCAAAAUGGGGGAAGAUUUCUUCAAAUAUCUACCGUCAACGGUCAUAACAAAUAUCCUCUCAAGACUCUCCACUCGAGCAGCUAUGGACUGCAAGUGUGUUUGUAAGCCAUGGCUUGGUCUGCUCACUACUCCCGAGUUUGUGAUUUCACAUAUGUCUAGAUCAGUCCCGGGCAUUGCUGUUGAAUAACGCUCACCACACUCGUGCAAAAUCAUUGAAUUUGUGGAUGAGCUUGACCUCAACUUCGAUGAGAAGCAUAGCUCGGAAGCAAUCUUCAACUUUGAUGAGAAGCAUCGUUGGGAAGUUACCUUCAACUUCAGGCUCCCGUUUGAUGGAUAUUUUAUUAGUUCAGCUAAUGGUUUGAUCUUUCUAAGAGACUUUGAAUUUGAUCAUGAUGAUCUUAUCUUGUGGAAUCCAAUCACACGUGAACAUAUCAAGCUCCUUUGUCCUCGACAAACCUCACCAAAAGUUCGGAAUGCCUUGGAUAAUUUUGGAUUUGGAGUGAGCGGAUCGACCGGACAAUAUAAGGUGGUUAGGAUUUUUGCUGAAACACCAAAACGACGAUAGGGUUUCAAAAAUGCUUGCCAAGUAUACACAGUUGGAACCGGAACUUGGAGAAAUGUUCCCUUUGGUAAGCCGCUCAGGUUUUGUGACGACACUAGAGGGGUACAUUUAAAUGGAAAUCUUUAUUGGAUGGUAGCGAAAAGAACAAAAGGCUUUUGUAGAUGGAUUUCUUGCUUUGAUCUUGAAACAGAACUUUUUAGCACCUUCGCUGCACCUCCUCCUCGUGGUAGAGAUUCUCUCUUUGGUAGGUCACUCUGUGUUUUGAGGGAUUGCCUAUGUGUAAGCGACAUUUCACACUAUGGGUGCGACCUUUCAGACAAAGACGAAGGGUGCGUUAUAGUCUGGUCGGUGAAGGAAUAUGACCACAGUUGGACAAAGAUAUUUGUCAUCCCCAAAGUUGAACGACUUUCUGGUAUAGGUCAUAUUUGGCCGAUUAAAUUUUUUGAAAAUGGUGACGCAUUGAUGGAAUGGGACGAUGGCAUGAUAUUCUACUACUCCAACAUGACGGAAAAUGUGUACUUCGAGAUCAAGUCUAUAGAGGGUCAUGAUCCCUCUACGAUCAUGUAUGCCUCGAGCUUUGUCUCUCUCAAGAGUUUUGCGAUGGAGAAUGUAAUUCACUAGCUCAUUUUGAGUUGUGACUUUGUAGUUUCUUUCAUGUCUGAUGGUGAAAUGCAUGAAUGCUGAGGAACAUUAGAGAUUGAACCUCUUUUUCUAAGAUAGUAUUUGUAGUUUCUUGGGUUUUAUUUUGA